rnacentral:rRNA from 1 species
CGAUUCCCUUAGUAGCGGCGAGCGAAACGGGAAGAGCCCAAACCAACAAGCUUGCUUGUUGGGGUUGUAGGACACUCUAUACGGAGUUACAAAGGACGACAUUAGACGAAUCAUCUGGAAAGAUGAAUCAAAGAAGGUAAUAAUCCUGUAGUCGAAAAUGUUGUCUCUCUUGAGUGGAUCCUGAGUACGACGGAGCACGUGAAAUUCCGUCGGAAUCUGGGAGGACCAUCUCCUAAGGCUAAAUACUCUCUAGUGACCGAUAGUGAACCAGUACCGUGAGGGAAAGGUGAAAAGCACCCCGGAAGGGGAGUGAAAUAGAACCUGAAACCGUGUGCUUACAAGUAGUCAGAGCCCGUUAAUGGGUGAUGGCGUGCCUUUUGUAGAAUGAACCGGCGAGUUACGAUUUGAUGCAAGGUUAAGCAGUAAAUGUGGAGCCGUAGCGAAAGCGAGUCUGAAUAGGGCGUUUAGUAUUUGGUCGUAGACCCGAAACCAGGUGAUCUACCCUUGGUCAGGUUGAAGUUCAGGUAACACUGAAUGGAGGACCGAACCGACUUACGUUGAAAAGUGAGCGGAUGAACUGAGGGUAGCGGAGAAAUUCCAAUCGAACCUGGAGAUAGCUGGUUCUCUCCGAAAUAGCUUUAGGGCUAGCCUCAAGUGAUGAUUAUUGGAGGUAGAGCACUGUUUGGACGAGGGGCCCCUCUCGGGUUACCGAAUUCAGACAAACUCCGAAUGCCAAUUAAUUUAACUUGGGAGUCAGAACAUGGGUGAUAAGGUCCGUGUUCGAAAGGGAAACAGCCCAGACCACCAGCUAAGGUCCCAAAAUAUAUGUUAAGUGGAAAAGGAUGUGGCGUUGCCCAGACAACUAGGAUGUUGGCUUAGAAGCAGCCAUCAUUUAAAGAGUGCGUAAUAGCUCACUAGUCGAGUGACACUGCGCCGAAAAUGUACCGGGGCUAAACAUAUUACCGAAGCUGUGGAUUGUCCUUUGGACAAUGGUAGGAGAGCGUUCUAAGGGCGUUGAAGCAUGAUCGUAAGGACAUGUGGAGCGCUUAGAAGUGAGAAUGCCGGUGUGAGUAGCGAAAGACGGGUGAGAAUCCCGUCCACCGAUUGACUAAGGUUUCCAGAGGAAGGCUCGUCCGCUCUGGGUUAGUCGGGUCCUAAGCUGAGGCCGACAGGCGUAGGCGAUGGAUAACAGGUUGAUAUUCCUGUACCACCUAUAAUCGUUUUAAUCGAUGGGGGGACGCAGUAGGAUAGGCGAAGCGUGCGAUUGGAUUGCACGUCUAAGCAGUAAGGCUGAGUAUUAGGCAAAUCCGGUACUCGUUAAGGCUGAGCUGUGAUGGGGAGAAGACAUUGUGUCUUCGAGUCGUUGAUUUCACACUGCCGAGAAAAGCCUCUAGAUAGAAAAUAGGUGCCCGUACCGCAAACCGACACAGGUAGUCAAGAUGAGAAUUCUAAGGUGAGCGAGCGAACUCUCGUUAAGGAACUCGGCAAAAUGACCCCGUAACUUCGGGAGAAGGGGUGCUCUUUAGGGUUAACGCCCAGAAGAGCCGCAGUGAAUAGGCCCAAGCGACUGUUUAUCAAAAACACAGGUCUCUGCUAAACCGUAAGGUGAUGUAUAGGGGCUGACGCCUGCCCGGUGCUGGAAGGUUAAGAGGAGUGGUUAGCUUCUGCGAAGCUACGAAUCGAAGCCCCAGUAAACGGCGGCCGUAACUAUAACGGUCCUAAGGUAGCGAAAUUCCUUGUCGGGUAAGUUCCGACCCGCACGAAAGGCGUAACGAUUUGGGCACUGUCUCAACGAGAGACUCGGUGAAAUCAUAGUAC